CAUGAAGCUGGAAUUGCUAGUAAUCGCAGAUCAGAAUGCUGCGGUGAAUGCGUUCCCGGGUCUUGUACACACCGCCCGUCACACCACGGAAGUUGGGGCGCCCGAAGCCACUUAGCUAACCCUUUUGGGAAGCGAGUGUCGAAGGUGAAAUCAAUAACUGGGGUGAAGUCGUAACAAGGUAUC
rnacentral:rRNA from 1 species